rnacentral:lncRNA from 1 species
GCUUUCUGCACGGGCGGAGGCGGCGGCAGGAGCGGCAGGCAUGGCCCGCGCGGCGCCCAGCGCAGACUGAGGGUCAUGCUGUGGCAACCUGGCACCUAACAGGUGGGGCUCCUUUCCCCAGGCCAAGGAGUCAGGCCAGGAGAGCCCGUGAGUGUGAAGAGGACUCUUGCAUGGAAUGCAGGCCCCCUGAAGCCCGUGUGCUCUCUGCUGUGAUCAGAGUUCCAGGACUUCCCCACUGCUGGGGAGGAGGGGCUGCCUUAGUGUCUGCUCAUGAGCCACAAGGACCCCGACUGUUCCAGACUGGACCUUUUCAAGCCGCCAAAGAGGGGGGUCCCUGGAGCUGGCAGCCGGCAGUCACAAGGGACUAGAGGGCUGGGAUGGACUGACCUCUGCCUUGACAGGGUGGCAGGAGAAGCAGAGCCUUUGUGGCCCAGCUAGUGACUGAGAGACCUGAUGAAGCCUUAAGCAGAGGUUCCAGUGGC